rnacentral:rRNA from 1 species
UUGUCCGGAAUUAUUGGGCGUAAAGCGCGCGCAGGCGGUUUCUUAAGUCUGAUGUGAAAGCCCCCGGCUCAACCGGGGAGGGUCAUUGGAAACUGGGGAACUUGAGUGCAGAAGAGGAGAGUGGAAUUCCACGUGUAGCGGUGAAAUGCGUAGAGAUGUGGAGGAACACCAGUGGCGAAGGCGACUCUCUGGUCUGUAACUGACGCUGAGGCGCGAAAGCGUGGGGAGCGAACAGGAUUAGAUACCCUGGUAGUCCACGCCGUAAACGAUGAGUGCUAAGUGUUAGAGGGUUUCCGCCCUUUAGUGCUGCAGCAAACGCAUUAAGCACUCCGCCUGGGGAGUACGGUCGCAAGACUGAAACUCAAAGGAAUUGACGGGGGCCCGCACAAGCGGUGGAGCAUGUGGUUUAAUUCGAAGCAACGCGAAGAACCUUACCAGGUCUUGACAUCCUCUGACAACCCUAGAGAUAGGGCUUCCCCUUCGGGGGCAGAGUGACAGGUGGUGCAUGGUUGUCGUCAGCUCGUGUCGUGAGAUGUUGGGUUAAGUCCCGCAACGAGCGCAACCCUUGAUCUUAGUUGCCAGCAUUCAGUUGGGCACUCUAAGGUGACUGCCGGUGACAAACCGGAGGAAGGUGGGGAUGACGUCAAAUCAUCAUGCCCCUUAUGACCUGGGCUACACACGUGCUACAAUGGGCAGAACAAAGGGCAGCGAAGCCGCGAGGCUAAGCCAAUCCCACAAAUCUGUUCUCAGUUCGGAUCGCAGUCUGCAACUCGACUGCGUGAAGCUGGAAUCGCUAGUAAUCGCGGAUCAGCAUGCCGCGGGUGAAUACGUUCCCGGGCCUUGUACACACCGCCCGUCACACCACGAGAGUUUGUAACACCCGAAGUCGGUGAGGUAACCUUUUGGAGCCAGCCGCCGAAGGUGGGACAGAUGAUUGGGGUGAA